rnacentral:rRNA from 1 species
AGAGUUUGAUCCUGGCUCAGGACGAACGCUGGCGGCGUGCCUAACACAUGCAAGUCGAGCGAUGAAGCCCUUCGGGGUGGAUUAGCGGCGGACGGGUGAGUAACACGUGGGUAACCUGCCUCAAAGAGGGGGAUAGCCUCCCGAAAGGGAGAUUAAUACCGCAUAACAUUGGUUUUUCGCAUGAAGAACUAAUUAAAGGAGUAAUCCGCUUUGAGAUGGACCCGCGGCGCAUUAGCUAGUUGGUGAGGUAACGGCUCACCAAGGCGACGAUGCGUAGCCGACCUGAGAGGGUGAUCGGCCACAUUGGAACUGAGACACGGUCCAGACUCCUACGGGAGGCAGCAGUGGGGAAUAUUGCACAAUGGGCGAAAGCCUGAUGCAGCAACGCCGCGUGAGUGAUGAAGGCCUUCGGGUUGUAAAGCUCUGUCUUUGGGGACGAUAAUGACGGUACCCAAGGAGGAAGCCACGGCUAACUACGUGCCAGCAGCCGCGGUAAUACGUAGGUGGCGAGCGUUGUCCGGAUUUACUGGGCGUAAAGGAUGCGUAGGCGGAUGUUUAAGUGAGAUGUGAAAUACCCGAGCUUAACUUGGGUGCUGCAUUUCAAACUGGAUAUCUAGAGUGCGGGAGAGGAGAAUGGAAUUCCUAGUGUAGCGGUGAAAUGCGUAGAGAUUAGGAGGAACACCGGUGGCGAAGGCGGCUACCUGGACCGAUAUUGACGCUGAGACGCGAAAGCGUGGGGAGCAAACAGGAUUAGAUACCCUGGUAGUCCACGCCGUAAACGAUGAGAACUAGGUGUUGCG